UCGUUUAUUCCUUCUCCUUCUCCAGUUGCGUCACCUCCUCCUCCUCCUCCCUCUCCUUCGAUCUCCGUCCUCCGGCCACCAAAUUCGGCAAAUGAACACUCUAAAAACAUCUACUCAACGCAAGGAAGAAGAUUAUAGCUUAGAUUUGAACUGAAAUUGCGUCUAUUUUGAAGGGGAAGAGCUUGAAGUUUCGGCCACCGUGGUUACACUUUUUUCCGGCGAUUCACGGCGUUUCAGGCAAGCCUAGAGCGCAAGGUGAGUACCAAAUGACUCCUCUCUUCUUCCUCUUUCAUUUGAUGGCCUCCUCGUCGACUGUAAUAACCGGAAUCGGAAAACCCAAAAUGGGUUUCACCAAACCUUUCCGGUCAAUUUUCGGCCAAAUAGUUCAUACCCACCUUGAUUUGAAUACAUAUUAGUGAUCCUCUCAUCAAAACGAAUAAAAUGAUAUAUUGCUUGUUAAUUUUGGUGAAGAUUUGACUUUUUCGACCACCGUGCACGGCGGCGGUCCGGCGACCGGCCGGCGGGGCUCCCGCGGGG
rnacentral:lncRNA from 1 species